AAUUGCAUAAAAAAUGAUGGUGCAGUAUUCUAGUCAUUCUACUUUACUUGAAGACGGGGCUAAAAAUCCGUCAAAGGGCACAUCGAUGAAGUUCCUGGUGCCGGCUUAAGGCGCCCAGCUUUGGGCUAGUGCUGGGAGUAAAGGGCGUAGGGCGAUCCACAAUGGCAUGUGGGCGAAGACCCUGCGCCCGUGGAGACACGUACGUUGUUUGCUUUUACGCAAUAGCUAUGUGGAAAACCUGUUUCGUAAGUACUUAAUCAUUAAGGAAAAGCGAACAGCGUAGCCUGCCUUGAGUGGGAAAGAGGGGAUGGUAAGCGCAUAACUUUGAAAUACUUGGCCGGUAUGAUAAGGGGCGCUUUCCUGAAAUCAAUUCUGCAAAAGAGGCUAGAGUAAAGUUUCAAGAAUGCUUGAGGAAAUCUCCUAGACUGUCUGCAUAGUGCAGCAUUUGAAAAGGAUUAUAGUGCGGUCUGAGUGGCGUUCUAGUUCGGUGUCUGGCGACAGCAUCGGCCAAGUUUUAAAAGGAAACUGCCUGCUUGGCAACAACAGGUAAUUUGGCGGGAAAACCUACUGGACCUAAGCCGCAAUGUUUACUUUUCAAAUGACCUCGCUACAUAAAAAGCAA
rnacentral:sRNA from 1 species